CCAAUAGCGUAUAUUAAAGUUGUUGCAGUUAAAAAGCUCGUAGUUGAAUUUCGGGAUCAAUUUAUUGGUCGUGCUAUUGUACGUACUGGUAUUAUUGAUUCCUACCUUCUGACGAACCAUGAUGUCAUUAAUUUGGUGUCAUGGGGAAUCAGGACUGUUACUUUGAAAAAAUUAGAGUGUUUAAAGCAGGCUCACGCUUGAAUACAUUAGCAUGGAAUAACGAAAUAGGACGUUUGGUUCUAUUUUGUUGGUUUCUAGGAUCGACGUAAUGAUUAAUAGGGAUAGUUGGGGGCAUUAGUAUUCAAUUGUCAGAGGUGAAAUUCUUGGAUUUAUUGAAGACUAACUACUGCGAAAGCAUUUGCCAAGGAUGUUUUCAUUAAUCAAGAACGAAAGUUAGGGGAUCGAAGACGAUCAGAUACCGUCGUAGUCUUAACCAUAAACUAUGCCGACUAGGGAUCGGAUGAUGUUAAUUUUUUAAUGACUCAUUCGGCGCCUUACG
rnacentral:rRNA from 1 species